ACAGCAACCGGUUAGAACAUGGAGGCCGUUAGUCCUCUGUCGGAAUGUUGCACUUGACUGCAACUUUACAUCCCACAUGUGUGUGGAGGGGGACUAUCCAGGAAAUUACAAGAUGGUUAGCGUACUGGCUGUCCUGGGAAAACAAGCCUUCAUGAAGCAGAGCCUGGCUACUUGAUCUUGGGCUCAAGUGAGGGGAGAGGCUUCAUCAGGGAAUGAAAUGAAGAUAAUCCCUGGCCAUUGGCCAUGCUGACAAGGGUGACUGGGAGCUGUAGACUGAGAGCCAGUGUGGUGUAGUGGUUAAGAGCAGUGGACUCGUAAUCUGGUGAACCAGGUUCGCUUCCCUGCUCCUCCACAUGCAGCUGCUGGGUGACCUUGGGCUAGUCACACUUCUCUGAAGUCUCUCAGCCUCAUUCACCUCACAGAGUGUUUGUUGUGGGGGAGGAAGGGAAAGGGGAUUGUUAGCCGCUUUGAGACUCCUUAAGGGGAGUGAUAAAGCGGGAUAUCAAGUCCAAACUCCUCUUCUUCUUCUUCUUCUUCUUCUUCUUCUUCUUCUUCUUCUUCUUCUAGACCAAGAAAACCUGCUGUAGCACCACACCGGCUGACCCUGUUUCACGUGUUUUUUAAUUGUGAAGAUAGCUAACACAUCUAAACUGGUGGCCAUCUUCCAACCUCCAGCUUCAUUGGAUGUCUAUGAGUUCUAGCAUUGUGAGAAUAAGAGAAAAACUGUGUGCGGCUGCAGUGCAGGUCAUCAAAACACAUAUUGAAGGCAAUCCCAAUCUGUCAGCAGAAGAG